rnacentral:misc_RNA from 1 species
CUACUUCACUUUCCUCUCUCCAAAGAGGAUGCUGAGGAUGUCAAGGGGACUUUAAGGUACAUGAUGAGUAAAAGGUUCCUUCGUAGUGGAAAUUACCCAUCAAGUGAAGGAAACCCAAGGGACAAAUUGAUGCAGUGGUCUCAUGGUGCUACUGGCAUGGCCAUCACCCUGUGCAAGGCAUCACAGGUUUUCCCAAAUGAUAGGGAAUUUCGUGAUGCCGCUAUAGAAGCAGGGGAAGUUGUGUGGAAGAGUGGAUUAGUGAAGAAGGUGGGACUUGCUGAUGGUGUGGCUGGAAAUGCAUAUGCCUUCCUUUCCCUUUACCGUCUUACAGGAGAUAGCAUAUACGAAGAGCGAGCCAAGGCAUUUGCAAGCUUCUUGUAUAGCAAUGCAAGUAAAUUAGUGCCUGGAGGACAUGUUCGCGGAGCUGAUCAUGCUUACUCUCUUUUUCAAGGACUUGCUGGAACAGCUUGCCUCUGGUUUGA